UGGGGAAUAUUGGACAAUGGGCGCAAGCCUGAUCCAGCCAUGCCGCGUGAGUGAUGAAGGCCCUAGGGUUGUAAAGCUCUUUCACCGGUGAAGAUAAUGACGGUAACCGGAGAAGAAGCCCCGGCUAACUUCGUGCCAGCAGCCGCGGUAAUACGAAGGGGGCUAGCGUUGUUCGGAUUUACUGGGCGUAAAGCGCACGUAGGCGGACUUUUAAGUCAGGGGUGAAAUCCCGGGGCUCAACCCCGGAACUGCCUUUGAUACUGGAAGUCUUGAGUAUGGUGGAGGUGAGUGGAAUUCCGGGUGUAGAGGUGAAAUUCGUAGAUAUUCGGAGGAACACCAGUGGCGAAGGCGGCUCACUGGACCAUUACUGACGCUGAGGUGCGAAAGCGUGGGGAGCAAACAGG
rnacentral:rRNA from 1 species